CCUGGGAAUGGGAAAACGAUACUUCACCGUGAUCCUAUUGAUAGCGCGACUAUCCACACACAUUCUCCAAGAUCCAUCCUUUUUGGGCGUCAAUAGGGCGGGGACAGCACAUGGGCUUAAACUCUCACGAAUGAAUCCUUUGUUGAGAAGGUCAUCCACUUGCCUUUGGAGCUCAGCGUGCUCGGUAGGAUUCAUCCUAUAAUGUGGCAAAUUUGGAAGGGAUGCGCCGGGGACGAAAUCUAUGGCAUGUUGAAUAUCUCUUAGCGGAGGUAGAUGAUCAGGUAGGUCCUCCGGAAAGACAUCUCGAAACUCCUGAAGGAUCGAUUGGACUUCCGCAGUAUCCUCACUUGUGGAGUUAGAUGAAACCUCCAUGACUACUAAGGCAAACACAAUUGAGUCACCAACAAUUGUACGCUCAAACUCUGUAGGACUAAUGAUAUGCAACCCCUUUUGUUCCACACUUUUCUUCGCUUCUAGUGAGCCAGCCGGCUUUGGGGGUGGUGGGUUAAGGUAAAUCUUCUUUCCAUUAAACACGAAGGAGCAGGAAUUGGAUCGACCAUAUAUGGUUACAUCUAGGUCAAAUAGCCAAGGUCGUCCUAAGAUGAUGUGCCCGACGUCCAUCGAAAUAACGUCACACCAUAUAUGGUCCUUAUACUCCAGGAACUGGAUAGGGACUAAACAACGCUCCUUAACAGCUAUAGAGGAGGUGUCAACCCAAGAGACACUAUAAGGUUGGGGGUGAGGAACUGGCUUCAACCCUAGACGGGAUAUAGUAGCCUUCGAAACCGCAUUAAUACAGCUGCCACUAUCCACGAUAACUUUACAGCCCUUGUUAUUAAUCUUGAUGUAGGUGUGGAAGAUGGCAUGACGGCGCCAAUCGUCGGCAUCCUUAGGCUGGGUGAGGGUGCAACGGACGACACCGACUCUGGGUGUAUGUGGGAUAAUGGGACUAGCCUGAAUACAACCUAAGAAGGUAUCCUCACUGUCCUCCAAGUCUUCAAAC
rnacentral:lncRNA from 1 species